rnacentral:tRNA from 3 species
GCGAAGAUGGCGGAAUUGGUAGACGCGCUAGCUUCAGGUGUUAGUGUUCUUACGGACGUGGGGGUUCAAGUCCCCCCCCUCGCACCA